GUCUGGUGCCAGCAGCCGCGGUAAUUCCAGCUCCAAUAGCGUAUAUUAAAGUUGUUGCAGUUAAAAAGCUCGUAGUUGAAUUUCUGCUGAAAAUAACCGGUCAGCCGUUUUCGGUUGUAACAUGGUGUGUUUUCAGCAUUUUUCUGAAUGGCGUUUCUGUACUUAAUUGUGCGGUGCGGUUUUUCAGAAGUUUUACUUUGAGAAAAUUAAAGUGUUUCAAGCAGACUUUUGUCUUGAAUACUGCAGCAUGGAAUAAUAAAAUAGGAUUUGAGUUCUAUUUUGUUGGUUUCUAGAACUGAAAUAAUGAUUAAUAGGGACAGUUGGGGGCAUUCGUAUUUAACUGUCAGAGGUGAAAUUCUUGGAUUUGUUAAAGACGAACUACUGCGAAAGCAUUUGCCAAAAAUGCUUUCAUUAAUCAAGAACGAAAGUUAGGGGAUCGAAGACGAUCAGAUACCGUCGUAUUCCUAACCAUAAACUAA
rnacentral:rRNA from 1 species